GAUAAACUUAUAGAUAGAUAAACUUUAUUUAAACACGCUAACUAUACACAGGAUUUAUGCAUGUACAAUGUUUUGAUGUUUUGUACUCAGGUGAAUACACUCUUUGUGUUUUUUAUGUUACUCUGAGUUUGUAUCAACGCCCGCCAGACCGAAAACUUUUGCCUGGCCACAGUGGUAUCCCAAAAGUCGCGGAUUCGAUACCGAUGCCGUACCUAUAUAGGCAAAAAUGUUUCAGCCUGUCUGCGUGGAUGCACACUCAGAGUAACAAAAAAACUCGCGCCAACUAUAAGUCAAUGCGAU
rnacentral:lncRNA from 1 species